rnacentral:rRNA from 1 species
CAGCUUGUGCUCCGGGAGAUGGGUACUCUGUGGGGACCGCCGGUGUUAAAUCGGAGGAAGGUGCGGGCCACGGUAGGUCAGUAUGCCCCGAAUUUCCCGGGCUACACGCGGGCUACAAUGAAUGGGACAAUGGGUCCCUCCCCUGAAAAGGGCUGGUAAUCUCACAAACCCAUCCUUAGUUCGGAUCGAGGGCUGUAACUCGCCCUCGUGAAGCUGGAAUCCGUAGUAAUCGCGUUUCAAUAUAGCGCGGUGAAUACGUCCCUGCGCCUUGCACAA